CAAGGAGAGCUUAAUUUCAUUCAUUUUAAUGAACCGUUUUUCUCUGUUUAUAGCAUUUUUGCAGUGGGAUUGAGAACAAGGAUUAGGAUUACUGGAGUUACUCUGGGACAUGUUAAUUCUAAGUAUAAAUCAAAAGACAAGGCACUAUCAUUGACCCUCCUAGAGGACAAUGGCUGCAGAUAACGCCUCCACUGUGACAGAGUUUGUCCUUGCAGGCUUAACAGAUGAGCCAGAACUCC
rnacentral:lncRNA from 1 species